GUAGUAGCAAAUACUCUAGCGAGGCCCUGGAGGACUGACGCGGAGAAGGGUUUCGUGUGAACAGCCGUUGCACACGAGUCAGUCGAUCCUAAGCUCUAGGAGAGAUCCGAAGAAUCGGGGCGAGGCGCCCAGGAGAGCGAAAGGGAAUCCGGUCCCCAUUCCGGAACCCGGUCGCGGAACCGUCUCACGUCGGGCCCCCCGGCGGGAAGCUCGUCGGGGCGACCCAAAAUGACCCGGAGAAGCCGUCGGGAGGUCGGGGAAGAGUUUUCUUUUCUGUUUGAGCGUUCGGGUUCCCUGGAAUCGCCUCGCGCGGAGAGAGGGAAUGGAACGCGUAGAGCACCGCAGUUGCGGCGGUGUCCCGACACGCCCCUCGGACCUUGAAAAUCCGGGAGCGGGCCACGUGGAGGUAUCGCGCCGGUUCGUACCCAUAUCCGCAGCAGGUCUCCGAGGUCGAGAGCCUCUAGUCGAUGGAAUAAUGUAGGUAAGGGAAGUCGGCAAAUUGGAUCCGUAACUUCGGGAGAUGGAU
rnacentral:rRNA from 1 species